rnacentral:lncRNA from 1 species
UGGUCCAUUUUACAGAACACUGAUUGGUGCAUUUUUACAGAGUGCUGACUGGUGUGUUUACAAACCUUUAGCUAGACACAGAGUGCUGAUUGGUGCGUUUUUACAGAGUGCUGAUUGUUGCAAUUAUAAUCCUCUAGGUAGACAGAGAAGUUCUCCAAGUCCCCUUUCGACCCAGGAAGUCCAGCUGUCUUCACCUCUUACAAUGAAUGAGUUUACAAUUUAUGGUGAAUAACUUACAAGCAAAUAAUUAAAGAUCUACAAAACUCUUCGUGCUUUACAUUAACAGAAUGAACUGAUUUAUUUAAAAAUAUUUAUACUGAGCUACUACUAUAUGUCAACCCCUGUGGGAAUUCAGAGUUGAUUAAGGUAUGAG